AUUGAACGCUGGCGGCAGGCUUAACACAUGCAAGUCGAGCGGGGUGAUGGUGCUUGCACUAUCACUUAGCGGCGGACGGGUGAGUAAUGCUUAGGAAUCUGCCUAUUAGUGGGGGACAACAUCUCGAAAGGGAUGCUAAUACCGCAUACGUCCUACGGGAGAAAGCAGGGGAUCACUUGUGACCUUGCGCUAAUAGAUGAGCCUAAGUCGGAUUAGCUAGUUGGUGGGGUAAAGGCCUACCAAGGCGACGAUCUGUAGCGGGUCUGAGAGGAUGAUCCGCCACACUGGGACUGAGACACGGCCCAGACUCCUACGGGAGGCAGCAGUGGGGAAUAUUGGACAAUGGGGGGAACCCUGAUCCAGCCAUGCCGCGUGUGUGGAGAAGGCCUUAUGGUUGUAAAGCACUUUAAGCGAGGAGGAGGCUCUUUUGGUUAAUACCCAGAAUGAGUGGACGUUACUCGCAGAAUAAGCACCGGCUAACUCUGUGCCAGCAGCCGCAGUAACAC
rnacentral:rRNA from 1 species